rnacentral:lncRNA from 1 species
ACCUAGUCUUGGUAUGGGUCCUUAAGAAUUCUCUGUUAAAAAUUAUGUCCCAAAGCCAAUCGUCAGCCUGUUGACGGUUGUGCUUAUCAUUGUAAUUGUAUAUAAAUUAUUAAAUUAAUAAAUAUUAUUUGAUUUUUCAUCACUGUGUACAUCUUAUUUUGAACUCCUGUUAUGUGAUGAAGUCCUUAGGACUAUUUGAUUCGAUAUGGGAGGAUAUAUCAUUUAGUCUUUAAAUGAGUUCACGACCAAAUGAUAUGUUAUUACUAGGAUGAUAGAUAUAUCA